CCGGCUGGCUGAGUCCUGUCGGUGCUCUACAGGCUGGGUGAGGGCAGCGUCCGUUGUCGUAUCUUUGCCGAGCCGUGAGCCUCCAGUAUUGGCUCCGUCUCCCUGAGACUCGUUGUCCCGACUAUGGGAUGGGCUGACUGUCACGGAGAUAUCCGCCCAGGCCGCGCGCUCUCCCGAGCCUCCUCACCCUGUCCUCGUCCCCGCUGCCCCGGCUAGCGGCACCCAGGGCCCUGUAGGCAUUUUACGCAGGAAGGGGUGAGGAUUGAGGCCCAGACUGCCACGGUCAGCCUGAGGUCAUCCAUCCUUUGGCAGGGCUGGGGUCGGGUCUGCCGACCCGCGGGACCCACCGGGGUAUCAGCCUUUCAGUGUGCAGCUCCGCCCCCAGGGUCCCGAGGCGUUGGCGGUGAUGACAGACCGGCUCAGGUGAGUUGAGGGUGCUCCCUUGGCCUUCGCUAACUCAGACCCCGAUAUCUGGGAUGUUGGUAUCCUGAGACUUUUCCUCCUCGCCGCAUUUGCCUCUCUGCCCUUAAUUACUUGGGCUUUGGGAGUCCCAUCUGGCCCAUAAUUCAGCGGUUAUGCAGGAGAGUUCCCAUUUCUGUCAGUCAGUAGGAUGUGAUAUAGAAAGUGUUAAAGACACAGAGACCAGCAAAUUCUUGGCAGUGAGGAUGAGCAGGGAAUGUUAAGAGAACCACAGGCCCCACUUAGGUCUUUUGAGAACAGUGAGCAGGGACAGGAGUCAGGCGGAGAAUGGCUCUAGACCUCUGUUCUGAGGAUGCUGGGCGCCAUGGGAGAUCUAGAGCAGAGGAGGAAGAUGAUCUGACUCAGGUGUUGGGAGGCUCUCUCUGGCUAGUGGGGAGAACAGACUGUACUUGAAGAAGGCCCACGAAGAGGCUGCUGGUGACAGGUGGCUGCACCAGGGUGGUGGCAGUGGAGAUGGCAGAUAUGCUUGUACUCUGGAUCUGUUAUUUGUGUAGGACCAGCCCAACUGCCUGAUGUGAGGCAGUGAAAGACACUGAGCUAUCAAGGGCUAGCCUAGGUGUUUGGACUCAGUGGUUUGAUGGAUGGAAGAUAUAUCAACAGAUGUGGAAGUUGAUGUCUAGAGCAGUUUCCAGGGACAAGAUCUGGAGUGUGGUUUUGGAGAUUUUAAGCAUGAUAUACCCAAGUACUCUUGAAUGGGGGCGCUGCGUAGGCUCCCGGAUACGCAACUCUGGAAUUCUGCAGGAUCAGGGUAGGGAACAUCCAAAGGGUGGGGCUAGAGAGUGGAACUAGGAACAAUGUGGGAUGGGUGAAGGAUGGUAAAGAAUACCCCUACAGGUUGGAGAAGGGGAGGCUGAGAACCAAGGACCAGAUGUCCUGACUAUGCAGUUGGAAGGUGAUGGUAGGUGUCAUUAAGUCACUGUGAAGGCUGGGCCAAUGUUAGCAGGGGAAUAAAGAGGGGGAGUGGCAGGGGGCCAAGGCACCUGAGAGACAAGUGGACCUGGGGUGGAGCCUGUGGCAUGACAGUGAUGGAUGUUGGUGGUAAGUGGGCCCAGGAUUGGGCUGAUUCUGUGGGAUCGCUAGGCUUUUAUGUCUGCCCCCUUUGGGGCCUGAGGCUCUUCAUUCAGAGUUGCAGAGGCACUCGGUGGCAGAUGGGGGUCACCUGAGAGACAGGGUCCCAGGCCCAGUGGGCUGGACUCUGAAUGUGCCUUAGGAGGGGAGAGGAGGGUCACGGCAAGUGAAAGGACAGCUUGUGCAAAGGCAGAGUUGAAGGAAGUCCGGGAUCUCAGAGAUCCAGUUGUACUUCUGAGUGGCUGAAUAUUGAAGCUAGGAGCAGGGCCUGGUGGGGAGUCGUUAAUGCAGGGGUGGGGGAUUCCUGUGGCAGUGGGCCAUUGGAGGUGCAGGCGCAGACAGGCCUGAGGCAGGAUAGGAUUGUGGUUGCUAUGCCACAGACUCUCAGGACGCCACAUGGAGAGUGGCCUGUGGGGAGGCCAGGGAGUUGCCAAUGGGGUGAGCUGGUGAGGUUGUGCUAGGGGUGUGGAAUUAUGAGCAUGCCAAGUAUGUUAUGUUCCUGAUGGGGGGAGGGCAGACUGAAGGGCCUUGGGAGCAAGUAUCUCGACCUAAGGGAGAAUGGCGUGUGUAGGUUUGGUUGCAUCUGAGAGGUGUGAUCUGAAGGACACAGAGGGAAUGGGCUGGGAGGAGAAAGGGUGAGGCCUGUGUGGCUGGACCAGAACAUAGAUGGCAUCCAUCCUGUUGUUGCUGUGGGCUGGAUACAGAGUCCAAUAGUAACAUGAGGAGAACAGCAUCAAUGGUGUUGUGACCUUGGUAUUCUCUCUGAGGUAGAGUUCUGGGGAAAGGGGGAGCAUCAGGAUGUGUUUGGGGGGGGUGGUUUGGGCCUCUGGGGAAAUAGGAUGUCAGUGAGAGAUAUAUUACCCUUCCAUGUCAAAGGCCUGGCUGGGUGUGUCCCUUUGUCCAUAUUUUGGUUGUUUUUUCUGCCUAGUCAUCAACCCCUAGGAUCAGUUGAACCCACCACUGCAGGGUAUGGUGACAUGUGAGGAUAUGGCCCUGUAUUUCUCCCAGAAGAAGUGGAGGCUCCUUAAUGUAACCCCAUGUAAUCGCCAUGAUGUGAUGUUGAACUUUGAGCUCGUCGGCUCACCGGACUCGGCACCACAUCCUCUAGGAUGAGUGCAUCUGAAUCCACUGCACGACAUCCAGGAGCCGGGUCCUCCUGCCGGCCUCGCAUCUUGAUGUGCCCAGGACCUUUCUCCCUAACAUCCUCAACAACGCGCUCACCCUCCUCCACAAGGCCCCUACCUGACUGUGGCCUUACACGGGGCAGGCUAUCAGCCUACUGUCCCUUGAGCAUGUUCCAGACCCAUCCCCGGUACCCCAGACCUGCCUGAGUCCAGUGGCCCAGGCACCACCAGACUCAACACUUGUAAAGUCCAACUGUGGAUCUUCUCCAACACUUCCUCCUCCUGCCAAGGCUCCCUGGCCGCUGGUCCCCAGCUCCUCACUGAACUCAGGCUGGAGAGGCUUUUCUGAGCUCCGUCUCCUGCUCCGUGAAGCAGACACCGCGUCCGGGGCGAUGACUCCUGGGCGGCGGCGGGCACGGAUGGGCUUUGAUGGAGGUGAGACGCGAAGGUAGUGCCUCUUUACCGCCAAAAACACUUGCCGAGCUUAACCCGCGUACAGAGCGCGCAGCCUCCUCUCAGGCCCUCUAUAUUCCAGUUUCCACCGUUCUGAGGAGCCUCCCAAAUUUCCGCCUCCGCGCAGUUACGCAGUCCGUCUGCCGGACGUGGUUCCGAAGGAGGGCGACGCCGGAAGUCCCACCUCCACGGAACGAGGGAAAGCUCCUCUCUGGGGCCGUCAUUGGCUACGUCGGUACGAGCGCACACGCCCUCCCCUGUCGCCUUGGCAACGAGCAAGCGGCACCGCGAGGGGAGCUGGGAAAUGAGGCCCUAAAGAGACGCUGGAGCUAAGUUAAUGAAGGCGUCUGGCGGCGGCCGGACUUCCGGCGUUGCUCUAGCUGUGCUCUUCUUGCAGCUGUGGGUGGAGACCAGCACUUGGAGAGCCGCGUUGCCGAGAAGAGGGCCGGGGACCCUCGUGGCACCUGUGCGCGCGCCGUGACCCUCGGAAAUAACCCCAUUUUUCUAAGACUCGGUGUCGCCCACUGCGGAACGGGUGCCGGAGGGCCAGGGCCUCCCGCGGGCGGUUCCCUGGUCUUUGAGCACAUUUUACACGGAGGAGACCUAGUUUCGAAGGUUCCGCGGUCGGCCGGAGGUUCCUGCGCCCAAGGCGGGGUGGUAGGUACGGAUUUGAGCUGAGUAGACCGGAAUUCGGCGCCUAUCGCAGCCAAGCUCCGUCCACAGCUUCCGAUGGCCGAGGAGGCGCUGGAUUUGCAUCUUCAAGGUGCCAUGUGGUUGCCCAGCUGGAGAGUGAAGAAGAGUUCUGGGUUCCCAGCAUGGUGGACCUGACUCUGGUCAGCAGAGUUGAGGCCAGGAGGGGUCCUGGUCUUGGUUGUCCAUGUAGCCUGAAGGAUGGGGAAACCCCUACAGAGCAGAUGAAGAGUUACAGAGUCUACCUGUCAGAGAAGCCCUCUCUGCUUGGGGAGUCUGGGAAGGACAUGCCUACCACCUUAGAUCUUCUCCGGCACCAGGCCACCCACAGCAAGGGGAAGCCACACAGGAGCACCGAGCAUGGAGAAGCCUUCCAACCCAGCUCCAGUAGCCAACAGCAGCAGGCAGUCCACGCCACACAGAAGGCCUUCAAGUGCAGUGACUGCGGGAAAGCCUUCCCAAAGGCCUUUGCGCUCCUUGACCACCUGGUAACCCACCCCAAAGAGAGACCCUUUAGAUGUCCAAAAGGUGGAAAUGCCCCCAAGGAGAAAUCCACCCAUGUUAAUUACCAAAAAAUUCACACUGGAGAAACAUCCCAUGUGUGUACUGAGUGCGGAAAGGCCUUUAGUUAUCCCUCUAAACUGAGGAAGCACCAGAAGGUUCACACGGGCAUAAAACCUUUCAAGUGUGAUGAAUGUGGCAAAACCUUCAACCGCAAAGAUGCACUCGUUCUGCACCAGAGAAUUCACACUGGAGAAAGGCCUUAUGAGUGCAGCGAAUGUGGGAAAGCCUUCAGCGUUCUGUCUACUCUCAUUCGGCACCGGAAAGUUCACAUUGGAGAAAGGCCCUAUGAGUGCAGGGAAUGUGGGAAGUUCUUUAAAUACAACCAUAGCUUCAUUCUUCAUCAGAGAGUUCACACUGGAGAAAGGCCUUAUGAGUGCAAGCAAUGUGGGAAAACUUAUGUGACCCGCUCUGGCCUGUAUCAGCACUGGAAAGUUCACACUGGAGAACGGCCCUAUGAGUGCAGCCUGUGUGGGAAGACCUUCACCACCAGGUCCUACCGCAAUCGGCACCAGCAGUUCCACACUGAAGAGAGGUCCUAUGAGUGUACAGAAUGUGGGAAAGCCUUCAAACAUAGUUCUACCCUUCUUCAGCACAAGAAAGUCCACACUGGAGAAAGGCCAUAAGAAGACAGGGGAUGUUGGAAAGCCUGUAGCUAGGGCUGGCACCUUGUUCAACAUGAAAAACCUCACUCCAGAAAGGAGAGGAGAGUAGCCAUUUGAAAGUUAAACCUGGCACACCCCAACACAUGCGCUGGGGUGGCAGGUGUGUGGGAAGUUUUCAGGAGCUAGGUUGCACUUGGACCUGCCUAGGCUGUUGGCAGUGUUAAGUUGCUGCCAGUUUCCAUGAUACAAACCAUCUUAGCUCCACCACCUGGCAGGUGCCCAAGGUGUGCAUCAGGCACCGCAAUGUGCUCUGGAACAGCAAGACCUCCAUGGUCGCCACUCUUUAAAGGAGAGAAUCAUGAGUGGUGGAGUCCGUGAUGGGCCUCAUUUGCUCCCUCCAACUGGUUCAGGUAUGCCUGUAACCAAGCUCUGGUCAAGAGUAGCUGAGCUGUGUCUACUGGGGGCUUCCAGAGAAAGUUAAUCCUUUCCAUGGACAUCGUUUACACUACGCAUGGUACCUGUCAUGGAUUUAUCCAACCCUGGAACUGGCUGUCUCACACUUCCCUGGAAUGUAUGUUUGCACUGGGCAGACCUGGAGCCUGAGACCUAGAAGAGCAGCUGGAUUUGCUGUAGUGUAAUGUCACCCUUCAUGGAUGCCACCACAUUCAGAGGUUCAUCCCCAUCUCUUCUCCAUGCAGCAAAGUAAAAUUCCCAAAGGAAUUUCACAUCAGGUCUACCAGGACAUCCAGCUCUGUGAGUAACCCCCCCCCCCCACAUCCCCCCACCACCUGACUCUAUUUUAAAAAGAGACCUUUUAGCCAGUCUUGUUUGCUCCAUUUUGAAAUCUCCUUUUACAAAGAUGUAGUUAAUGUUCUAACAGAGUCCAAAUAGUGGAGAGGUUUCUCCCCUUCAAGUUGGGGAAGAAAGUUGCUGGAUUCAAGCUGCUAUAGUGAGAAAAGUGAUACAUAAAAGGUUAAGACACCAUGGGUACCCCAAUAUAUCACUAUGUUCUUUAAUUCUUCUCAUAACACUUACUAGAAAUUGUCUGCUUUCAGCAAGAUCAUUUGUUUUUUAAAAUUUUUAAAAAUGUUUUUAUUUAUUUUUGAGACAGAGAGAGACAGAGCAUUAGCAGGGGAGGGGCAGAGA